rnacentral:rRNA from 1 species
UACGUAGGGUGCGAGCGUUGUCCGGAAUUACUGGGCGUAAAGAGCUCGUAGGUGGUUUGUCGCGUCGUCUGUGAAAUUCCGGGGCUUAACCUCGGGCGUGCAGGCGAUACGGGCAAUACCUGAGUGCUGUAGGGGAGACUGGAAUUCCUGGUGUAGCGGUGGAAUGCGCAGAUAUCAGGAGGAACACCGAUGGCGAAGGCAGGUCUCUGGGCAGUAACUGACGCUGAGGAGCGAAAGCAUGGGUAGCGAACAGGAUUAGA